CGGCACUUUGUAACUAAAACAGGGGUGUGUUUUUUUCACAUGUCGCACCGUAUCUCAAAAACGAUUCUUGAUUAUGGCUUAAAACUUUAAGCACUUCUUAGUUAUAUUAAUCUUAAUAUCUGUAUACUUUUUGGUGAUGAUUCAAAAUUUCAUUUUUGAGUUAUUGAGUAUUUGGUAAAAAAGGGGGAGGGGUUUUUUACAUGUCGCACCAUAUCUCAAAAACGAUUUAUGAUUAUUGCUUAAAACUUUACACAUGUCUUUGUUAUAUUAAUCUGAAGAUCUGUAUACUUUUUGGUGAUGAUUCAAAAUUUCAUUUUUGAGUUAUUGAGUAUUUUGUAAAAAAGGGGGAGGUUUUUUUUACAUGUUGUGCCGUAUCUCAAAAACAAUUUAU
rnacentral:lncRNA from 1 species